AACGACGCUGGCGGCAGGCCUAACACAUGCAAGUCGAACGCCCCGCAAGGGGAGUGGCAGACGGGUGAGUAACACGUGGGAACCUUCCCAACAGUACGGAAUAGCCCAGGGAAACUUGGAGUAAUACCGUAUAUUCCCGAGAGGGGAAAGAUUUAUCGCUGUUGGAUGGGCCCGCGUCGGAUUAGCUAGUUGGUGAGGUAAGGGCUCACCAAGGCGACGAUGGAUAGCUGGUCUGAGAGGACGAUCAGCCACGCUGGGACUGCGACAUGGUCCAGACUCCUACGGGAGUUAGCAUCCGGGAAUCUUGCACAAUGGGCGCAAGCCUGAUGCAGCGACGCCGCGUGGGUGAUGAAGGUCUGCGGAUCGUAAAGCCCUGUCAGGAGGGAAGAAGUUCUGACUGUACCUCCAAAGGAAGCCCCGGCUAACUACGUG
rnacentral:rRNA from 1 species